ACAUUAUUGUUGUGCAAAAACAAUAUCUUGUUCAAGGAAUUUUGAGAAUAGGAUAACUUCCUCCUUUAAUUACAAAAAUAGUGUUGUUGUGCCACUUAAUGAGUUACCUUUGGCUUCUUUUGAUCAAUAUAUAGAGGAUAAGGGAAGAGUACUCCAAGCUAUAUUUCUAGAGAAAUCAACAUGCAAACAACUCAAUGAGGAAGAAUGGAGAGUCAAGUUGAAUCCAAUUCAAGUAUUUUUGGUAACUUGUCAACCAAUAAUACAUGUCAAAGCUAGAUGCAUAUCUCAAGAUCAAGACUAUCCACCUGAAAUACCUAGACAUAUCACCAAAUUUCUAGAGGUU